CCCUUAGCUCACACAGCCAGCUAGAAGUAAGGAAGGACAAUGAAGCUGAGAAUAAAGGACAGUGGCAAUAAUAGAUACAACAAUGGGAGAAACAAGAGAGGCCAGGAUGGAGAAGAAAGAAAGAACUAUCAAACAAAAAGGGGAAAACGAAUAGGAAAGAAGUGGGGAUUGGACUGACAGAAUGAAACCAGGAAAACUGCUGCAGAGUGAGAGUCUUCUAAAUGGAUUAAGAAGCCUAUCUCAAUCCCUCUGGAGAGUCCUCUUCAAUUCACAAUGAAGAUGUUGAAGAGCAGGGACAGACAUCAACACUCCUCUCCCCACCUUCCCCACUGGCAGAGGCAUUCAGGUCACUACUAGUGUCUCUCUUUCUCUUUUCCCCUUCUCUUAAUCUCUCACUGCCCUUCUCUCCAUGUCAUAUUCUCUUUUUCUCCUUCCCUCUCUUCCUUCUUACCUACUAAACUCCAUAUGUACCAAAAUCAGUCAAAGCUCUACUAUCUAGCUCUCUUUAUCUAGACUAAAGGAGUUGUCCACCUCUUGGUCUAGAUAACACUUGCAAAUAAAGACCUGCUCGUUUCCCAAA
ensembl:lncRNA novel transcript, antisense to CFAP45